rnacentral:rRNA from 1 species
AUGAUUCAUGAUGAACUCGACGGCAUCGCACGGCCCUCGUGCCGGCAGACANCAUCAUUCAUAANUUCUGCCCUAUCAACUUUNGAUGGUGAGGAUAGGGGC